AAUCAACAACUCCGGUUUAAAUUGAAGAAGAUUUAGAUAAUCUUGAACAACUUGAAGCGGACUUGAUUAAUACCGGAAGAGAGCCUUGCAUCGUCGACAUAUAAAAGUAUUGCAGAACUUGAAAGUGUGCCAGGUUGAGGAUUUCAGUUCCAGUGUGCCAGAACUUAAGGCUGUUGC